rnacentral:rRNA from 1 species
AAUUGACGGGGGCCCGCACAAGCGGUGGAGCAUGUGGUUUAAUUCGAUGCAACGCGAAGAACCUUACCUACACUUGACAUACAGAGAACUUACCAGAGAUGGUUUGGUGCCUUCGGGAACUCUGAUACAGGUGCUGCAUGGCUGUCGUCAGCUCGUGUUGUGAGAUGUUGGGUUAAGUCCCGCAACGAGCGCAACCCCCUAUCCUUAGUUGCUAGCAGGUAAUGCUGAGAACUCUAAGGAGACUGCCGGUGAUAAACCGGAGGAAGGUGGGGACGACGUCAAGUCAUCAUGGCCCUUACGUGUAGGGCUACACACGUGCUACAAUGGCGCAUACAGAGUGCUGCGAACCUGCGAAGGUAAGCUGAAUCACUUAAAGUGCGUCGUAGUCCGGAUUGGAGUCUGCAACUCGACNNNANGAAGUCGGAAUCGCUAGUAAUCGCGUAUCAGAAUGACGCAGUGAAUACGUUCCCGGGCCUUGUACACACCGCCCGUCAC